rnacentral:sRNA from 1 species
AUGGGUUAUAAACUGGCACGGGCGAAGGGGUUUCCUCUCCGCCCGUGCUCGCAUGUUAGGGGCUGAAAAAGA